rnacentral:rRNA from 1 species
AGAACGUCGUGAGACAGUUCGGUCCCUAUCUGCCGUGGGUGUAGGAAUAUUGAUUGGAUCUGUCCCUAGUACGAGAGGACCGGGAUGGACACACCGCUGGUGGACCUGUUGUCCUGCCAAGGGCAUUGCAGGGUAGCUAUGUGUGGAACGGAUAACCGCUGAAGGCAUCUAAGCGGGAAACUAACCCAAAGACGAGUAUUCCCUGAGAGCCGUGGAAGACUACCACGUUGAUAGGCUGG